rnacentral:rRNA from 1 species
CCUACGGGUGGCAGCAGUGAGGAAUCUUGGUCAAUGGGCGAGAGCCUGAACCAGCCAAGUCGCGUGAGGGAUGACGGCCCUACGGAUUGUAAACCUCUUUUGUCAGGGAGCAAAUGGGUCCACGCGUAGGCUUAGCGGGAGUACCUGAAGAAAAAGCAUCGGCGAACGCCGUCACAGCAGCCGGGUAAUACGGAGGAUGCGAGCUUUAUCCGGAUGUAUUGGGGUUAAAGGGUGCGUAGGCGGAAAGUAAAGUCAGCGGUAAAAAUUCGGGGCUCAACCCCGUCCAGCCGUUGAAACUGAUGUUCUUGAGUGGGCGAGAAGUAUGCGGAAUGCGUGGUGUAGCGGUGAAAUGCAUAGAUAUCACGCAGAACUCUGAUUGCGAAGGCAGCAUACCGGCGCCCAACUGACGCUGAGGCACGAAAGCGUGGGUAUCGAACAGGAUUAGAUACCCUGGUAGUC